GUAGUCAUAUGCUUGUCUCAAAGAUUAAGCCAUGCAUGUCUAAGUAUAAGCAACCUAUACUGUGAAACUGCGAAUGGCUCAUUAAAUCAGUUAUCGUUUAUUUGAUAGUACCUUACUACUUGGAUACCUGUGGUAAUUCUAGAGCUAAUACAUGCUAAAAACCUCGACUUCGGAAGGGGUGUAUUUAUUAGAUAAAAAACCAAUGCCCUUCGGGGCUCCUUGGUGAUUCAUAAUAACUUAACGAAUCGCAUGGCCUUGCGCCGGCGAUGGUUCAUUCAAAUUUCUGCCCUAUCAACUUUCGAAGUGAGGGUAGUGGCCUCACUUGGUGUCUACGGGUAACGGGGAAUUAGGGUUCUAUUCCGGAGAGGGAGCCUGAGAAACGGCUACCACAUCCAAGGAAGGCAGCAGGCGCGCAAAUUACCCAAUCCUAAUUC
rnacentral:rRNA from 1 species